UGAGGAAUAUUGGUCAAUGGGCGCAAGCCUGAACCAGCCAUCCCGCGUGAAGGAAGAAGGCCCUAUGGGUUGUAAACUUCUUUUCCAGGGGGUGAAUAAUUCCGAUGUAUCGGGAGAUGACGGUACCCUGGGAAUAAGCAUCGGCUAACUCCGUGCCAGCAGCCGCGGUAAUACGGAGGAUGCGAGCGUUAUCCGGAUUUAUUGGGUUUAAAGGGUGCGUAGGCGGAACAAUAAGUCAGUGGUGAAAGACUGCAGCUUAACUGUAGACUUGCCGUUGAUACUGUUGAUCUUGAGUAUGGUCAAGGCAGGCGGAAUGUGUAAUGUAGCGGUGAAAUGCUUAGAUAUUACACAGAACACCGAUUGCGAAGGCAGCUUGCUGGGCCAUUACUGACGCUGAUGCACGAAAGCGUGGGGAUCGAACAG
rnacentral:rRNA from 1 species